AGAACCAAAUCAAGGUCAUCAACUUGAAGAACAAGCCACACCGCAAAGAUGUAAUCCAACAAGGCAUAUGAAGAAUUUGCAAUCAUAAGUGAUAGAGAAACAUACGUGUUGUAAUGCUUCCAGCAAUCAAUAUGAGAGGCAUCUCACCAUGAAUCAACAUGGAGAUUGAAUGAUUGAAAUUUCAUUCUCUGGAUAAUGGGCUUUGGAAAAAUCAGAGCAAUACGCCUUUGUGUGAGAUAUAAUAGGCAUCCCAAGAUGCAAGGUUCACAUAAGUAGUAUUCAGUGACAAAAACUUGUAAUUGUCCACAUCGGACCAUUUAUUGAAGGAUCAGUGUUCCAACUUGAACAAUCAUCACACUUAGAGGCAACAAUUGAAUAGCAAUUUUCAUUUAAUCUUCGAACCACCAACAUGUUCUUCCCAUAUUUAUCAACAACUCUACAACUCGUCUUGGAAAAACAAACAUCAUUAGCAACUUCAUCAUAGAGUUGACCAAUACUAAGAAGAUUAGUUGACAACCUAGUCACAUAGUGAACAUCUUCAAG
rnacentral:lncRNA from 1 species